rnacentral:rRNA from 1 species
AGCAGCCGCGGUAAUUCCAGCUCCAAUAGCGUAUAUUAAAGUUGUUGCAGUUAAAAAGCUCGUAGUUGAAUUUCGGGAUCAAUGUUUCGGUCAUGCCGUUGGUAUGUACUGAUAUUAUUGGUUUCUCACCUUCUAAAGAACCGUAAUACCAUUAAUUUGGUGUCACGGGGAAUUAGGACUGUUACCUUGAAAAAAUUAGAGUGUUUAAAGCAGGCUCACGCUUGAAUACAUUAGCAUGGAAUAAUGAAAUAGGACAUCCGAUUCUAUUUUGUUGGUUUCUAGGAUCGAUGUAAUGAUUAAUAGGGAUAGUUGGGGGCAUUAGUAUUCAAUUGUCAGAGGUGAAAUUCUUGGAUUUAUUGAAGACUAACUACUGCGAAAGCAUUUGCCAAGGAUGUUUUCAUUAAUCAAGAACGAAAGUUAGGGGAUCGAAGACGAUCAGAUACCGUCGUAGUCUUAACCAUAAACUAUGCCGACUAGGGAUCGGAUGA